rnacentral:rRNA from 1 species
GACGAACGCUGGCGGCGUGCUUAACACAUGCAAGUCGAACGGAAAGGCCCUGCUUUUGUGGGGUGCUCGAGUGGCGAACGGGUGAGUAACACGUGAGUAACCUGCCCUUGACUUUGGGAUAACUUCAGGAAACUGGGGCUAAUACCGGAUAGGAGCUCCUGCUGCAUGGUGGGGGUUGGAAAGUUUCGGCGGUUGGGGAUGGACUCGCGGCUUAUCAGCUUGUUGGGGGGGUAGUGGCUUACCAAGGCUUUGACGGGUAGCCGGCCUGAGAGGGUGACCGGCCACAUUGGGACUGAGAUACGGCCCAGACUCCUACGGGAGGCAGCAGUGGGGAAUAUUGCACAAUGGGCGGAAGCCUGAUGCAGCAACGUCGCGUGCGGGAUGACGGCCUUCGGGUUGUAAACCGCUUUCGCCUGUGACGAAGCGUGAGUGACGGUAAUGGGUAAAGAAGCACCGGCUAACUAUGUG